rnacentral:piRNA from 1 species
UGAAAGGUGUUAUUGAGUGGUGGAUG